rnacentral:tRNA from 1 species
ACCUGAGUGGCUCAGUUGGUUGAGCGUCUGACUUCGGCUCAGGUCGUGAUCUCAUGGUUCGUGAGUUCGAGCCCUCGCAUCAGGUU